rnacentral:rRNA from 1 species
ACGGGAGGCAGCAGUGGGGAAUAUUGCACAAUGGGCGCAAGCCUGAUGCAGCGAUGCCGCGUGAGGGAAGAAGGUUUUCGGAUUGUAAACCUCUGUCCUCAGGGACGAUAAUGACGGUACCUGUGGAGGAAGCUCCGGCUAACUACGUGCCAGCAGCCGCGGUAAUACGUAGGGAGCGAGCGUUGUCCGGAAUUACUGGGUGUAAAGGGUGCGUAGGCGGGACGGCAAGUCAGAUGUGAAAUGUAUGGGCUUAACCCAUGAACUGCAUUUGAAACUGCUGUUCUUGAGUGAGGUAGAGGUAAGCGGAAUUCCUAGUGUAGCGGUGAAAUGCAUAGAUAUUAGGAGGAACAUCGGUGGCGAAGGCGGCUUACUGGGCCUUUACUGACGCUGAGGCACGAAAGCGUGGGGAGCAAACAGGAUUAGAUACCCUGGUA